AACGAACGCUGGCGGCAUGCCUAACACAUGCAAGUCGAACGAAGGCUUCGGCCUUAGUGGCGCACGGGUGCGUAACGCGUGGGAAUCUGCCCUUUGGUUCGGAAUAACAGCUGGAAACGGCUGCUAAUACCGGAUGAUGACGAAAGUCCAAAGAUUUAUCGCCAGGGGAUGAGCCCGCGUUGGAUUAGGUAGUUGGUGGGGUAAAGGCCUACCAAGCCGACGAUCCAUAGCUGGUCUGAGAGGAUGAUCAGCCACACUGGGACUGAGACACGGCCCAGACUCCUACGGGAGGCAGCAGUGGGGAAUAUUGGACAAUGGGCGCAAGCCUGAUCCAGCAAUGCCGCGUGAGUGAUGAAGGCCCUAGGGUUGUAAAGCUCUUUUACCCGGGAAGAUAAUGACUGUACCGGGAGAAUAAGCCCCGGCUAACUCCGUG
rnacentral:rRNA from 1 species